rnacentral:rRNA from 1 species
UACGAAGGGGGCUAGCGUUGUUCGGAUUUACUGGGCGUAAAGCGCACGUAGGCGGUUCUUUAAGUCAGAGGUGAAAUCCCAAGGCUCAACCUUGGAACUGCCUUUGAUACUGGGGAUCUCGAGUUCGGGAGAGGUGAGUGGAACUGCGAGUGUAGAGGUGAAAUUCGUAGAUAUUCGCAAGAACACCAGUGGCGAAGGCGGCUCACUGGCCCGAUACUGACGCUGAGGUGCGAAAGCGUGGGGAGCAAACAGG